rnacentral:rRNA from 1 species
GAUGAACGCUGGCGGCGUGCCUAAUACAUGCAAGUCGAGCGAACAGACGAGGAGCUUGCUCCUCUGACGUUAGCGGCGGACGGGUGAGUAACACGUGGAUAACCUACCUAUAAGACUGGGAUAACUUCGGGAAACCGGAGCUAAUACCGGAUAAUAUAUUGAACCGCAUGGUUCAAUAGUGAAAGACGGUUUUGCUGUCACUUAUAGAUGGAUCCGCGCCGCAUUAGCUAGUUGGUAAGGUAACGGCUUACCAAGGCAACGAUGCGUAGCCGACCUGAGAGGGUGAUCGGCCACACUGGAACUGAGACACGGUCCAUACUCCUACGGGAGGCAGCAGUAGGGAAUCUUACGCAAUGGGCGAAAGCUUGACGGAGCAACGCGGCGUGAGUGAUGAAGGUCUUCGGAUCGUAAAACUCUGUUAUUAGGGAAGAACAAAUGUGUAAGUAACUAUGCACGUCUUGACGGUACCUAGUCAGAAAGCACCGGCUAACUACGUG